rnacentral:lncRNA from 1 species
CACAGAGGCUUCCUGAUCAGAUCUAAAGACAUCCUCUGCUUUUUUUCUUUCCCGUUUUUGACAGGAAAAAAAAAAAAAUGCAGCUGGAAAAGAGAAAGAAAUCUGCUUGUUUGGCAACUCAGAAUCCGCGACAUUAAUUGCUGUGAUUCUUCCCUACACCAGAAAGCAAAACCUGCUGCCGCUGGAACUGCUACUUUGAUGGCUGCAGGAAUUUGGGACUCAGCAGUACCAAAAGAGACCGCACGUGGCCAAAACCUGCUCUCACCAAGCAUCUGAUGGUAUGAGAGCUCUGGAGGAGAAUUAUCAUUACACCAGGCAUUUACCAGUGAACUAUACCACCCUGGAAUUGUUGAACUUCUACUAAAAGCUUAAAUUUCCCAAAAUAUUUAGUGAUUUCACACACCUCAUGAAACAAGAACUACUGAAAGGACUUGAUUUUCAUGAUUUGUUGAGAAUCUGCUCUCUCAGAACUGCACCUUUUUAUGGGGCAACAAGAUCAUUACUGACUUUUCAAAAGAUAAAUCAGUGAACAGCUCCUCGAAUCACAGGCCCAGGAGACAGAGCAGCUAAAAUUAUGUACUAAUGUAGGAUAAGACUUGAAUACAAUGCCUUACCCAGCCGAAGCUGCUGACAGAAUUCAGGUAGACAGCACAUAAUUACCCCAGCUGGAAUUUUGCCAACAUACCCAAGCUAACAACCUAGAACACACAUACCAUGGAUCUUUAAUUACCACAAGUGCUCGUGACCUGUGUUUUAUGUUUCUUCCAAAGACUGUGAAGUGUCCUUAAAACAGGAAAAACAUCCAGUACAAAAAAUGAAGUAAAGAAAACAAUAGGGACUUUGGUGACUCCUAGGGAAAGUGUCAGCCAGUGUCUGCAAAGAUUUCUCUAGGAAGGUAAUAUGCAUGCAGAAUCUGAUUUUUGUCCAGUGAUUUGCAUCCAGUGAGAAUCGCUUAGCAGAAAGAAAGAUCGGGCUCAGACAAACACCCCCUUUCUUUUCAUCAAUCAAUGCAAGUGUGAUGAUGCAGUCUCUUGUCUCGGUGUUGCUUGACCCAGGUAUGAAAGGGAAUUUCAAAGCUACAUCACUAUUUAAGGAAAUUCAUACUGUCUUAAAGCUUUUAGAGAACAUAUUGAUUGCUUGACCCAGAGACAAGAAACACUGGCUUUUAAAAAACUCUCCUGUUGUUACCAUCUUCAUCUGACUGUGAUUUUUCUCCUAUUUCUUGUUAAUGUUCUUGUGUACUGCAGUGCUUAAGAGAGAAGUGUUAGAUGUACUUCCUGUUGCUGA